GGUACUUGCUUCUGCUGUAUAUAAAAAUGGAGACGAUUCAGAGAAGAAUAGUAUAGCCUUUGUGCAAGGCCGGCACGCAAAAUCGCUGAGCGUUCCAUAUUUUU